GCCGAACGUGCCAUAUUCUGUCCUCUCGCCACGAACGCGGCAAUCGCCGUUCAUCGCGGUUACGAAUCACAUCGCACGUGAAACCGGCCACGUCAUCAUAUUCUGUCACUCACUUUCUAUCCCCGCACCCCCAUGCGUUUCGGCGGCGACCGCGAGACGAGGAGCUCCCAGCCCGGCGGCGGCGACGCGAGACGAGGAGCUCCGCAGCCCUGCGGCGGCGACAGAGAGCGGCAGGUCCUGCGGCAGCCGCGCGACUCCACCCGACGACCACCGCAUCCGCCGCGUGCAUCGCCGGUUGCCGCGCGUCGAGGAGUCCCGCAGGUCCCGCAACGGCCUUGGCGGGAGGACCUCGGCAGGCCCCUAGCAACGGCAGCCGAAGUACGAGGAGCGGGCACCAACGGCGACGGCUUCGAGCGCGGGCAUGGCGGCGGCCUCGAGUACGGCGGGAAGCACGGCACCGCGGCGGCCUCGAGCGGUUUGCGGAAGAGGAUGGGUGGGAGAGAUGCACUUCUCCGGCGUGCGCCAGCUCCUUCUCCGGUGUGUGCUCUGCCUCCUGCGGGGGCGCUCGCGACACUGCCUCCGACCGGCGGUUUGAAGCCAACGACGCACGGCGAGCCUGUGGUUCACGGGGCCAACCUCCGCGUCGAGGAGUUGAUCUCCACGAGCUCCUGCGCCGUCCCGCCAUGACUAGGAGGAGAAGCAGUGUUUGUGCUUGAUGUUGGGAGUAGCGGCGAAACUGCACUCUCUGUGAGCCUGUGCACCGGCAUGCCAGGUAUUCCUCAAAGUGGAGUUGCAGCGUGGGCUGCGCUUGAUGAUGGGGAGCUGCAGCGUGGCCACUGAACUGUCACUGGCUUCAGAUUUUCCUCAUGUAUAAGUUGAUGCUUUUCUUCAGUUUUGCCAUACAAAAAAGGUUAUAUGCUAUCAUCCUAGUUUUUGCCAUGCUGAAAGAUUGUACCAUGUAGAAAAUUGCCAUGCCAAUCUUCAGAUUAAU
rnacentral:rRNA from 1 species